GAGACUUUAGUAUAAGGAGUAUAAUUUAUUUUCAAUGAAUUGGUAGAAAGUCUUAAAGUA
rnacentral:tRNA from 1 species